UCAUUCAAUCUUUUAAUGAUU
rnacentral:piRNA from 1 species